rnacentral:rRNA from 2 species
AUUUUUAUGGAGAGUUUGAUCCUGGCUCAGGAUGAACGCUGGCGGCGUGCCUAAUACAUGCAAGUCGAGCGAACGGA